rnacentral:rRNA from 1 species
AUUGAACGCUGGCGGCAGGCCUAACACAUGCAAGUCGAACGGUAACAGGAAGAAGUUUGCUUCUUUGCUGACGAGUGGCGGACGGGUGAGAAAUGUCGGGGAAACUGCCUGAUGGAGGGGGAUAACUACUGGAAACGGUAGCUAAUACCGCAUAACGUCGCAAGACCAAAGAGGGGGACCUUCGGGCCUCUUGCCAUCGGAUGUGCCCAGGUGGGAUUAGCUAGUAGGUGGGGUAACGGCUCACCUAGGCGACGAUCCCUAGCUGGUCUGAGAGGAUGACCAGCCACACUGGAACUGAGACACGGUCCAGACUCCUACGGGAGGCAGCAGUGGGGAAUCUUGCGCAAUGGGCGCAAGCCUGAUGCAGCCAUGCCGCGUGUAUGAAGAAGGUCUUCGGGUUGUAAAGUACUUUCAGCGGGGAGGAAGGGAUUUAAGUGAAUACCUUCGCGUAUUGACGUUACCCACAGAAGAAGCACCGGCUAACUCCGUG